UACGUAGGUGACAAGCGUUGUCCGGAUUUACUGGGCGUAAAGAGCGCGCAGGCGGUCGUUCAAGUCGAGUGUGAAAGCCCCCGGCUCAACUGGGGAGGGUCAUUCGAUACUGAUCGACUCGAAGGCAGGAGAGGGUAGUGGAAUUCCCGGUGUAGUGGUGAAAUGCGUAGAUAUCGGGAGGAACAUCAGUGGCGAAGGCGACUACCUGGCCUGUUCUUGACGCUGAGGCGAGAAAGCUAGGGGAGCAAACGGG
rnacentral:rRNA from 1 species